CCUACGGGGGGCAGCAGUGGGGAAUAUUGCACAAUGGGGGAAACCCUGAUGCAGCGACGCCGCGUGAGUGAUGAAGUAAUUCGUUAUGUAAAGCUCUAUCAUCAGGGAAGAUAAUGACGGUAUCUGAGUAAGAAGCCCCGGCUAACUACGUGCCAGCAGCCGCGGUAAUACGGAGGGGGCAAGCGUUACCCGGAUUUACUGGGUGUAAAGGGAGCGUAGACGGCAGUGCAAGUCUGGAGUGAAAGGCGGUGGCUUAACCCUCGGACUGCUUUGGAAACUGUACGGCUGGAGUACAGGAGAGGUAAGUGGAAUUCCUAGUGUAGGGGUAAAAUGCGUAGAGAUUAGGAGGAACACCAGUGGCGAAGGCGACUUGCUGGACUGUAACUGACGUUGAGGCUCGAAAGCGUGGGGAGCAAACAGGAUUAGAUACCCCAGUAGUC
rnacentral:rRNA from 1 species